GCGGAAGUGGCGAAAUUGGCAGACGCACCAUCUUGAGGGGGUGGCGCUCGCAAGGGCGUACGGGUUCAAGUCCCGUCUUCCGCA
rnacentral:tRNA from 5 species